UAACGGCCGUUAUUUGAAACCAUGCUUCCUACCUUGUUUUGGGUCUUCUCUCAUUUCCUCUAUUUGAAACCUGUAACAUAACGGUCUCCUCUCUCUCUCUCAUUUUCUGGCAUUUUCCUUUUGCAAGUGACCCCUCCUAGCCGUGCACGUGCACCUUGCAUCUAGAUUCCAGGAUGCUUUUGUGGCUUACUGUGCCUUUAAUGUCUGUGAUCAGCAACCUUGAUAUCACCAUAGCAGUUCUUUAUGGAUGAGUGCAUUAUAUUGAAUCCACCUCAUUCUAUCAUAUUUAACUGUUGUUAUGAUUGUCCCCACAGUGUUGAGAUGUCUGAGUGAGUUUCAAAACCCUGGCAUGUCUGAAGGCUGUAUCUUGAAUCCCCUUGCUAAACAUGAUUUGUAGUUAAAACUAUGAAUUUGGUUACUGGUUACAGGUUAGGCAUGUGGACUGCUAUAUGAUUCAAGUUCAUGAGCUAGAAUCUGUUACAACAAGAUAUAAGUUCAAGUCAAUGAUGAAAGCUAAAUUUUCUUAUUCUACCAUCAAAUUUACUAUCAUUAUCCUCUGAAGGAAUAUAUUAUGAAAUUGAGUUAAGAUGAUAUAUUUGGCACCACGCUCACAUGUAAGCCUCAAUCUUUUUUCAAAUAGUAAGCCCAACUAAGAAAAAAUGGGCUACUUCAGUGGUGUGUACUCAGUAUUUUUUACUCUAAUGCAGUGCUGUUAUCAUCCACUUGAAAAACUAAGUUAAGCAUGAUAGAGUAUAAUACUUGACACAUCAUCUUAUCUCUGCUUCUUUUAAUUAAUACUCGCUUUUGUUUGAGAUUAUCCUUUUUUUUUUUGGUCCGAACAGACUUUAACCAUUUGUUAUGGAUCAGGUCUGAU
rnacentral:misc_RNA from 1 species